rnacentral:lncRNA from 1 species
AGGAGCUGCCUUCAUCGCAGUCACGCCCCUUCCUUCCGAGGAGCUUUCUGGCUGCCUAAACUGGUAGACCCCUGAAUUACUCCUCCAUCUCUUCUCUUUUGCCUCCUCUCCUCUUAGUUCCUACCGCCUCCCCCACACUGCCACCACCUCCAGUCUGUCUAGCUUCCCACCAUCCGCUGCUCCACCCUCCGGCCCGGUAUCCUGCCUGUCCACUGCCGCCAAGGAGAUCCCGGACGGAGCAGCGAGGAGGGGAGCAGCCAGGAGUUGGGGCUUCCCCCCUGCCCAUCCCUGGCCUCUGGCCCGGGACCGAAGCCACUUCAGCUAGCAGAGAGUCGUCAUCUUCAUUGCCUUCAGGGGUAGGAGACGCGUGGUUACUUUUC